rnacentral:rRNA from 1 species
AGAGUUUGAUCAUGGCUCAGGACGAACGCUGGCGGCGUGCUUAACACAUGCAAGUCGAACGGUAAGGCCCUUCGGGGUACACGAGUGGCGAACGGGUGAGUAACACGUGGGUGAUCUGGCCCUGCACUUUGGGAUAAGCCUGGGAAACUGGGUCUAAUACCGAAUAGGACCAUGGACUUCACGGUUUGUGGUGGAAAGCUUUUGCGGUGUGGGAUGGGCCCGCGGCCUAUCAGCUUGUUGGUGGGGUAAUGGCCUACCAAGGCGACGACGGGUAGCCGGCCUGAGAGGGUGACCGGCCACACUGGGACUGAGAUACGGCCCAGACUCCUACGGGAGGCAGCAGUGGGGAAUAUUGCACAAUGGGCGCAAGCCUGAUGCAGCGACGCCGCGUGAGGGAUGACGGCCUUCGGGUUGUAAACCUCUUUCAGCACAGACGAAGCGCAAGUGACGGUAUGUGCAGAAGAAGGACCGGCCAACUACGUG